rnacentral:rRNA from 1 species
UAGAGUUUGAUCCUGGCUCAGAUUGAACGCUGGCGGCAUGCCUUACACAUGCAAGUCGAACGGUAACGCGGGGGCAACCCUGGCGACGAGUGGCGAACGGGUGAGUAAUGCAUCGGAACGUGCCCAGUAGUGGGGGAUAGCUCGGCGAAAGCCGGAUUAAUACCGCAUACGACCUACGGGUGAAAGCGGGGGACCGCAAGGCCUCGCGCUAUUGGAGCGGCCGAUGUCGGAUUAGCUUGUUGGUGGGGUAAAAGCCUACCAAGGCGACGAUCCGUAGCUGGUCUGAGAGGACGACCAGCCACACUGGGACUGAGACACGGCCCAGACUCCUACGGGAGGCAGCAGUGGGGAAUUUUGGACAAUGGGCGAAAGCCUGAUCCAGCAAUGCCGCGUGUGUGAAGAAGGCCUUCGGGUUGUAAAGCACUUUUGGCGAGAACGAGAAAGCGCCUGCUAAUACCGGGUGCGAAUGACGGUACUCGCAGAAUAAGCACCGGCUAACUACGUGCCAGCAGCCGCGGUAAGACGUAGGGUGCAAGCGUUAAUCGGAAUUACUGGGCGUAAAGCGUGCGCAGGCGGUUUUGUAAGACAGAUGUGAAAUCCCUGGGCUCAACCUGGGAACUGCAUUUGUGACUGCAAGGCUAGAGUGCGUCAGAGGGAGGUGGAAUUCCGCGUGUAGCAGUGAAAUGCGUAGAGAUGCGGAGGAACACUCGAUGGCGAAGGCAGUCUCCUGGGAUGACACUAACGCUCAUGCACGAAAGCGUGGGGAGCAAACAGGAUUAGAUACUCUGGUAGUCCACGCUCUAAACGGUGUCAACUAGUUGUCGGGGAUUCGUUUUCUUUGGUAACGCAGCUAACGCGUGAAGUUGAUCGCCUGGGGAGUACGGGCGCAAGGUUAAAACUCAAAGGAAUUG